rnacentral:rRNA from 1 species
GACGAACGCUGGCGGCGUGCUUAACACAUGCAAGUCGAACGGAAAGGCCCUGCUUUUGUGGGGUGCUCGAGUGGCGAACGGGUGAGUAACACGUGAGUAACCUGCCCUUGACUUUGGGAUAACUUCAGGAAACUGGGGCUAAUACCGGAUAGGAGCUCCUGCUGCAUGGUGGGGGUUGGAAAGUUUCGGCGGUUGGUGAUGGACUCGCGGCUUAUCAGCUUGUUGGUGGGGUAGUGGCUUACCAAGGCUUUGACGGGUAGCCGACCUGAGAGGGUGACCGGCCACAUUGGGACUGAGAUACGGCCCAGACUCCUACGGGAGGCAGCAGUGGGGAAUAUUGCACAAUGGGCGGAAGCCUGAUGCAGCAACGCCGCGUGCGGGAUGACGGCCUUCGGGUUGUAAACCGCUUUCGCCUGUGACGAAGCGUGAGUGACGGUAAUGGGUAAAGAAGCACCGGCUAACUACGUG